GUCACAGGGUUAAAAUCCGUCAAGGCAUAGGCUGACGAAAAGCAUUGCUGGACAGUAGCUACGGGGUGGCAGCCCGCGUGACAGUAGCGAAAAAUCGGCAGAGUGUGUGUGCGGCAGCACACAACAGCUAGCGAGGCAGUAUGCUGACGAAAGUUGGGGCUUGGACGAGGAUUGUUCAAGGCUUGACGAAACAGUGCUGGGAUGACACAAUGGGACAGUGGGGAAUUCGGCAGCACUGGUGAGAUCGGCAGCGUCGAGGAAUUCGGCAGCAGGGGCUGACGAUAACUUGGACAGCGGACAGUCCAAGGCAUGCGAGGCAGUUACGCUGGCAGCAUGUGUGCUGGCAAUGGGCAGUUGGCUUGUGAGAACAUGCCAAUGCAGUUGUGGCAGUUUUGGGAGCAGUUAUCGGCAGUUUGCGGCAGUUUCUUAUGUGGGGGAGAAGUUGGCUGAACAUGGGAUAAUGGGUGCUCCAGCUGUGCAGGAAGUUAGGGGUAGUUU
rnacentral:lncRNA from 1 species